CUGCUGGCGAGUGGCGAACGGGUGAGUAAUACAUCGGAACGUGCCCUGUAGUGGGGGAUAACUAGUCGAAAGAUUAGCUAAUACCGCAUACGACUGAGGGUGAAAGUGGGGGACCGCAAGGCCUCAUGCUAUAGGAGCGGCCGAUGUCUGAUAGCUAGUUGGUGGGGUAAAGGCCCACCAAGGCGACGAUCAGUAGCUGGUCUGAGAGGACGAUCAGCCACACUGGGACUGAGACACGGCCCAGACUCCUACGGGAGGCAGCAGUGGGGAAUUUUGGACAAUGGGCGAAAGCCUGAUCCAGCAAUGCCGCGUGUGUGAAGAAGGCCUUCGGGUUGUAAAGCACUUUUGUCCGGAAAGAAAUGGCUCUGGUUAAUACCUGGGGUCGAUGACGGUACCGGAAGAAUAAGGACCGGCUAACUACGUGCCAGCAGCCGCGGUAAUACGUAGGGUCCAAGCGUUAAUCGGAAUUACUGGGCGUAAAGCGUGCGCAGGCGGUUGUGCAAGACCGAUGUGAAAUCCCCGAGCUUAACUUGGGAAUUGCAUUGGUGACUGCACGGCUAGAGUGUGUCAGAGGGGGGUAGAAUUCCACGUGUAGCAGUGAAAUGCGUAGAGAUGUGGAGGAAUACCGAUGGCGAAGGCAGCCCCCUGGGAUAACACUGACGCUCAUGCACGAAAGCGUGGGGAGCAAACAGGAUUAGAUACCCUGGUAGUCCACGCCCUAAACGAUGUCAACUAGUUGUUGGGGAUUCAUUUCCUUAGUAACGUAGCUAACGCGUGAAGUUGACCGCCUGGGGAGUACGGUCGCAAGAUUAAAACUCAAAGGAAUUGACGGGGACCCGCACAAGCGGUGGAUGAUGUGGAUUAAUUCGAUGCAACGCGAAAAACCUUACCUACCCUUGACAUGCCACUAACGAAGCAGAGAUGCAUUAGGUGCUCGAAAGAGAAAGUGGACACAGGU
rnacentral:rRNA from 1 species